rnacentral:rRNA from 1 species
UAGUGGCGAACGGGUGAGUAACACGUGGGCAAUCUGCCCUGCACUCUGGGACAAGCCCUGGAAACGGGGUCUAAUACCGGAUAACACUANGGGCCUCAUGGUCUGUGGUUAAAAGCUCCGGCGGUGCAGGAUGAGCCCGCGGCCUAUCAGCUUGUUGGUGAGGUAAUGGCUCACCAAGGCGACGACGGGUAGCCGGCCUGAGAGGGCGACCGGCCACACUGGGACUGAGACACGGCCCAGACUCCUACGGGAGGCAGCAGUGGGGAAUAUUGCACAAUGGGCGAAAGCCUGAUGCAGCGACGCCGCGUGAGGGAUGACGGCCUUCGGGUUGUAAACCUCUUUCAGCAGGGAAGAAGCGCAAGUGACGGUACCUGCAGAAGAAGCGCCGGCUAACUACGUGCCAGCAGCCGCGGUAAUACGUAGGGCGCAAGCGUUGUCCGGAAUUAUUGGGCGUAAAGAGCUCGUAGGCGGCUUGUCACGUCGGGUGUGAAAGCCCGGGGCUUAACCCCGGGUCUGCAUUCGAUACGGGCUAGCUAGAGUGUGGUAGGGGAGAUCGGAAUUCCU